UCAGGCAGGAAGUUAAAUCACACAUGACACUUCCUGUGUAGCCUGAGGCUAAGCAGGUUGUGCUGUCAGUGCUGCCGGUGGCCACUAGGUGGCUCUGACGGUUAUGGGCAGCAAUGAAAAAAAAAAAUCACACAAAAAAAAGACACUCAACAGGAGGCCGGCUCUGCAGAGCUGUCGGCCUCCCGGGCCGGAACUCCCUGGUGAAUCUUAUGGCCAGUCCGGCCCUGCCUACGUCCCUGGAAUACCUGCUUCUUCAAAGUCCAAAAGAACCCUUCCAAAGAUGCUGGGAGGACCUCCCAUUAUCAGACUGAGUAUGGAAGAGCCAAAGCUUGACAAUACAGUGGACCGCACAAGGGCAAAAGGAGAGGCAAUAUCUGGAUUUUCCACUCUCCAAUGCCCAGACUAUGAAUCAUAAAAGUGUCAAUCUAACCCAAGAGACCAUUGAUUAAGUGCUCAGAGUUAGAUCCAUUUACAAAGUUAAGUAGCAGCUGUACAGUGGAUGGAGGAGGGGGUUCCAGUAACAACUGAAUUGCAAAGGCUGGCUCACCUAAUCGCAGAACAAUCUUUUACAAAUAAACAUACUAAUAUAUUGUGUAAACAUUCCAAAAUAAUUUAUUCCCUGCAUCCAUAGUGUAUUGGGAGCAUACGAUCCCUGGUGAUCACUGCCUGUUGUUUUUUUUUCUCCUUAUUCACUCCUGGAGAAUAGUUUCAGCGUGUUUACUGAUUAGUUCAUUCUUCUUUAUCAAACUAAUUAUGCACUAUAUUAGGCAGAGAGAAAAAAAACCUUAGCACAAUAAAUUGUUGCACCUGCCAGCCGUCUUCCUCCCAAUCCCCAGUCUUGUCGAUUAGACUUCAAUUUAUUAAAUAUGUAUUUCUGAC